rnacentral:rRNA from 1 species
AUGAACGUUGGCGGCGUGGAUUAGGCAUGCAAGUCGUGCGCGAAUCGUAGCAAUACGAGGAGAGCGGCGAAAGGGAGAGGAUAGCAUAGAUACCUACCCUCGGACCUGGGAUAGCUAUGGGAAACUAUAGGUAAUACCAGAUAACGUCUCCGGACCAAAGGUGUGAUUCCGUCCGGGGAGGGGUCUAUGUCCUAUUAGCUUGUUGGUGAGGUAACGGCUCACCAAGGCCAAGAUGGGUACGAGGCGUGAGAGCGUGUCCUCGCUCACUGGGACUGAGACACUGCCCAGACACCUACGGGUGGCUGCAGUCGAGAAUCUUCGGCAAUGGGCGCAAGCCUGACCGAGCGACGCCGCGUGUGGGAUGAAGGCCUUCGGGUUGUAAACCACUGUCAGUGCGGAGGAAAUAUAGGGGGGUUCUCCCCUCUAUUUGACCUAUGCGCAGAGGAAGGGCGGGCUAAGUUCGU